ensembl:lncRNA
UCUAAAAAUGACUACAGAACUCACGGGGUAAUUAUAUUUAACCAUAAAUUCUCUCAUUCCGAAUAUCCUUUCCACACAGGGAUACAUUCAUGGUGACUUAUACCUUAGGGCUAUCAUGUAGCUGGAUGCAGUACUUUCUGCAUCAAGCAGGGGGUUGGACUUGAUGGCUUUAUAGACUCCUUCCAACUUCACUCUAUGUAAUUGUCAUGAACAGCAGCAGCAACAAUGGAAAAAAAACAAAAACGUAACAUUUACCAGAGAUAAAAUUCCACCAACCCUACAUAUACUGUUUUUAAUUACUCUCAGGUUCAGCAAUCCAUUUAAAACUGACAAAAUAAGGGAUGGGAACGUCAUCACUCAUGUAUGAAUGUCAUUUUAAAUAAAAUGUAUGGAAACAGAACCCUUCAACUUCUCAAAAACAGAUGCUCUCCAUUCAUUUUAAGAGCUACAGCACCCCUUUCCGGAGUCCUCGCACCCAAAACACAGCCCACCUCUCCCUCCCUCUCACCGUCUCCUUGCUCAGUCUCCCCCACAACACUCCCACCAUCUUUCCACCUCUUCUCACCGGCAACAACACACGCUCCCCAAUUUCGUCCCGGUUGUUAUCCGUCCAUAGACACACGUACGGAUACAAAGAAUGCAUGCAAACACACACACACACACACACCAUACAUCUAUGGUGUGCGUGUCUUUGCAUGCAUGCACAAAGAAUGCAUGCAAACACACACACACACCAUACAUCGAUGGCGUGUGUGUGUUUGCAUGCAGGCGUUCUUUGGGGGCGUCCAUCCACCCGCAACCGGCUUUUCCUUCCCUCUCAAGCCCAUUCCUCAGCCCUCGCACCCCUUCGCCUUUUGCAGAGUCACGUCCCAGGCCUGGGGCUUGGAUGAGGGAGAGCCCGGUAUCCCGUUUGGGCAAAGGAACGGAAUGUCGUUACACGGAACGGGAGGGGAAGGAUUCUGUGAAGCAUUGGCCACCUUUCCUCCAAACGAGGACAGCGGGGAAACCCCCCGCCCGCCCACGGAGAGCCACUACUCUCGCCCGCAGCCGAGGCGAGACAAGCGCCCUCCCCGGAGCGACUCACCCGGUGUCUCUCUCUCCCUCUCCGCCUCCACUCGAGGGAGGCCAGCCCGGGGAAGCCGGGGCCGGAACUGGCCCCCCAAGCCUCGGCUACACGGAACCGCUGCUCGCUGAACACCGAUGCUGGGCCAUGAGGUCCCGCCAAACCAACUUAUAUAAAGAGCAACCGGCAACAUGAUGAGAAGAAGCCCACCCAAGAACUAGGUAAAAAAAUUGAGCUUCAGCAUUGAAUCGGCAGUCCUGCUGGUUUCUGGAAGGCUAUGAGUGAGCAAGAGCCGGUGUUGUGUAGUGGAUAAAGUGCUGGACCAGAAAGCAAGAGCCGGUGUUGUGUAGUGGAUAAAAUGCUGGACCGGAAAUCAUGAGACUUGGGUUCAAAUCCCUGCUUGUCCAUGGAAAAACAUUGGGAAAUGACCUUUCUUUCUUUCUUCCCAUCAGAGCACUGCACACUUUAGAAUAUUUUGAAAUAUUGCUCCUGGGGGCGUCUCAACAACUCUAUCUUAAUAGAAAUUGUUGCCAUCUUUGGUCCUUUGGGGUCAUUUUGCUCCUCAGCAGGUUUGCAGUGCAAUGUGUCUGGAAGUGAAGGAUUGCCAGCUGCAUGCCAUGACCCAGGGAACACCCAGGUGCACUCACAGUGCUUUUUCACUGGUCAACACACACCUGUGCUUUGACAUGGCGAUUUGAGAGAAAAGGUUUCUUUGCCCCUUUUUGCAGCUGUUCCACCAUGAUGUGUGCCCUCAGAUCCCAUCCCACCCCCAGGUCAUCAACAGAGCUCCACCCUUCUUCUCAGCCUGGCUCCACCUCUCACCAUAUGACUAGGAGGCAAUCACACCCCCUUUCCUCUCUGCUUUGUAACUUUAUCUGCAGGGCCAUCAUAUGAUCUGAAUUCCCACCAAUGGGGUUGCCAUGUUCAGAGGAGUUUCCUCAGGGGGUGUAGACCUCUUUCACAAAUCCCUUCUCUCUUUUCAUGAAUAUAAACCCUCCUUUGAAGAAGGUGGUGAGUUGACCUGAACACUAACCAGACCUGCCAUGAAUAUAAACCCUCCUUUGAAGAAGGUAGUGAGUUGACCUGAACACUAAACAGACCAGACCUGUGGAAAAGAUGGGAAGGAAUAUCAACAUAGCUUUGUAUGGAGUACCCUUUACAUCAGUAUUGCAAUAUUUGGUGUUACUCUGUUUGAGGAUCCCAAUAGCUCUCAGCAGAUCCUUCCCUCUCUGGGUCCCUCCCUUCCCAACAGUCUGACUUGCUGUGCCUCCCAGGUUCCCAGUCCUUCAGAACACCUGGAAAGCCAGCCAUUUCUUGAACUAGGGAAAUAAAGGGGGAAAUGCUCCAGGAUGCA